AUUGUCGAUAAAUGCAGUAAACAACAGGCUGCUUUCUCUCAGAAGAAGUUAUAUGAAGUUGUCAUCCAUUUGACGACCUGCGGUAGUGGAAAGGUAAACUCUAGUUUGGUCUUUUUAUCCCCAUGGCAGAGGAAGAAGGAAUGAGAGCUCCUCCCCUAGGCUCUGUACCUCCUCCAAGCCCACAGCCUGGCUCUGCACGUAGGAAAAUGUGUGGAACUCCCUGUGCAUCAGUUCCUGCCCAUUGCCUCUUGUCCUGUUGCUCAGCACCCCUGAGCAGAGCCUCCUCCAUCCUCUGACACCUCCCUGCAGAGGUCCUCAUUCUGCUGGUUCUCAGAUUCCAAGGCCAAGACCUAGUUUAUCAGGGCAUCUGGGAAGGAAGUCAGAAAAUAAAGCCUAAGCUUCUAGAAGAGACCGGGUUCAAGCACCACUAGCUGCAGUAGGUAACAAGGACGUUUGUGUCAUUUAAAAAAGAGGUGGUUGGUCAAGAGCACGUUGAAAACGUCACACAUUUGGAGAAAGAACCUCUGCACUUGGGAGGUAACUGAAUAAACAAGACAAGGAGAUGUUUUACCAUUCAUGCCAUUUAAGCUCUGCUGUUUCGAGAAGGUUUUACCACACAGAUUAUUUUUUCAAAUGAGGACAAUGCAGAGUGUUUCCAGCACAUGGCCGGAAAAUCUUAGCCAUGGCUGCACUAUUCAGA